rnacentral:rRNA from 1 species
AACGUAGGAGACAAACGUUAUCCGGAGUUACUGGGCGUAAAGGGCGUGUAGGUGGUUUCGUAAGUCUGGCGUGAAAUUUCUCGGCUUAACCGAGGCAGGUCGUCGGAUACUGCGGAACUUGAGGACGGUAGAGGCGUGUGGAAUUCCGGGUGUAGUGGUGAAAUGCGUAGAGAUCCGGAGGAACACCAGUGGCGAAGGCGACACGCUGGGCCGUACCUGACACUGAUGCGCGCAGCAUGGGGAGCAAACAGG